GAAUAUUGUAACUCAGUUACUAACUCAGCUACUUUUUUGAAGAAGUAACUAGUAACUAUAAUUAAUUACUUUUUCAGAGUAACAUGCCCAACAAUGAUUAUUACUACAGUACAGUUAAGAUGUUUACAUACAUUCAUAAGAUUUGUUUUUUAUAUCUUGUAAAUGUGUUUCGCCCUUGUACUCAACAGGUUCUUUGUCAAGUAGUGACAAUAGCCAAACUGGUGACCCUCCACAAAUACAACAAGAUAUAACUGCCAGUAGUGCAAUGAUGUCCCCACCCUCUCCUACCUCCUCUCCAGACCAUCCAGUGAAAAGACCAGGUUCUUUGUCAAGUAGUCACAAUAGCCAAACUGGUGACCCUCCACAAAUACAACAAGAUAUAACUGCCAGUAGUGCAAUGAUGUCCCCACCCUCUCCUACCUCCUCUCCAGACCAUCCAGAGAAAAGACCAGGUUCUUUGUCAAGUAGUCACAAUAGCCAAACUGGUGACCCUCCACAAAUACAACAAGAUAUAAUUGCUAGUAGUGCAGUGAUGUCCCCACCCUCUCUUACCUCCACUCCAGACCAUCCAGAGGAAAAACCAGGAUCUUUGUCAAGUAGUCACAAUAGCCAAACUGGUGACCCUCCACAAAUACAACAAGAUAUAACUGCCAGUAGUGCAAUGAUGUCCCCACCCUCUCUUACCUCCUCUCCAGACCAUCCAGAGAAAAGACCAGGAUCUUUGUCAAGUAGUCACAAUAGCCAAACUGGUGACCCUCCACAAAUACAACAAGAUAUAAUUGCUAGUAGUGCAAUGAUGUCCCCACCCUCUCCUACCUCCACUCCAGACCAUCCAGAGGAAAAACCAGGUUCUUUGUCAAGUAGUGACAAUAGCCAAACUGGUGACCCUCCACAAAUACAACAAGGUAAAUUUCACUUUCUUUGACUUUACACUCCAAUGUCACACAGACACAUGCAUAUGGAGCUAUGUAUGACUAUUAUUACAUUUUAAUGCUGUUUUACGUGAAUGUUUAUUAGAUAUAACUGCCAGUAGUGCAAUGAUGUCCCCACCCUCUCUUACCUCCACUCCAGACCAUCCAGAGAAAAGACCAGGUUCUUUCUCAAGUAGUCCAGCGAAGCGCCACAAUAGCCAAACUAGUGACUCUUCACAAAUACAACAAGGUAAAUCUCACCUUCUUUUACUUUACAUUUCAGUGACACACAGACACAUGCAUAUGGAGCUUUGUAUGUCUAUUAUUAAAUUUUAAUGCUGUUUUAUGUGAAUGUUUAUUAGAUACAUUAGAUACAUUAAGUAUAGGUGUCAGAAACAUCUGGACUACUGUUUAUGCCGCAAACUAACAAGAAAAAAUCUACAGAACCACAAAUUGAAUUAUAAUGAACUGAAUUUGUAUAAUCAGCCUAAUAUUAACGUGUCUUUAGUUCAUGAGUGCGGAUUCAAAGCUUUAACAGAGGGUAGCACACUUCAACUUAACGUAAGUGUAAGGAUUUUAGUGGUGUUUACUCUUGUAUGCGAAUUCACCCCUUAUGUGGUUUAUCUUCCUGCUAACUUCUAACUCUGUUAAAUUUAAUAAAUUCUGUUUUCAUGGAUGCCUGCAUGUUAAACUUAAUUGUUACACCUGGUAAAGCAGCAACGCUGAUCAUUUUAUUAAAGAUGAAAAAAUUUAGACAGUUUUUAACUCUGAGGGAUGCCACAGUGUUCGUUUGACUUUAAGACCUGAAGCUGACAGAGUUUUGGACCCAGAGUACUCCUGACUACAGUAGCUGUAAUGCUCCGACAAUCCAUUAAGCAGUGCAGGUUCGUAGCUCACCAAAGUCAUACUAAAACAUUUUUUGACAGCUUUUUGAGCACCGUGUACCACAUAAAAUCGGUUCGAGUUUAGUAAGCACAACCAGAAUUCAUACAUAAAGUGCACUGGAUUAUAAGGCGCACUGUCGAUUUUUGAGAAAAUUAAAGAAUUUCAAGUGCGCCCUAUGGUGCAGAAAAUACGAUAUUUAGGCUAUAUUUGCAUAAGCCAUGGCUGGGACAGAAUACCGGACCAUGGCUCAGUCUUGGUUGCUUUUAAAACAUUUAUUUUUACAUUAAUCCACAGAAUAGAAAUAACAGAGAUAUGUAGUCUCAGUUAACAUGCCAUUGUAGAAGGAGUGAAAGAAGCCAUCUAUGUCCACUGUGAACGACCAUUUUUAAACAGAGGCGGUGGAUUACGACACCAACUGUCUGCCAUCUAUGAUCCAGUUUUGAGAUCCCUUUGCAGACACCUUAAUUUCCACUCACAUCCUGGGCAUUUUGAUCUCAGGAAAUCACACGAUAGGGUAGGGCGAGGUUUCCCAAUGAGCUCACCCGAAACUUGGCUGAUUGUGACCUACACCCAUUUUCACACCUUGACUUGUGUGAUUAGGUAGAGGAUCAUUAGGGGGUCCAUGUCCCUCUUGGGAGACACUCCCAUAGGGCUUAAAUCUGAGACUCUCCACCAUUUGACCUUAGAAGUGAAGAAACUUCUCAGAUGAGAGGUGAAACAUCUUCAAGCAACUUAAAGAAGUCCAGACGCUUUUCUUUCCAAGCUCCUUAGACUACGAUGACCUCAGAAUCUGAAUCAGAGAAAAUUUUAAAAUUAAAGUGACUGAAUAGGUGAAUAAAUAACUCUAAGUGACUAAAAGUGAAUAAAGUGUCGGCAGUAUAACCAGAGUAUAGAGUAGUUUAUGUUUCUGGUGUGGGAAAUGGUCUUAUCGGCUGGAGUUAAAAAGCAGAGUGGCUUUGGGAACAAAGGUGGCUCUCCUCCCCUCAGUCCUGCAGGAAAUGCAGCGGAGGCACCGCCCAGAGGGGAGCCACUGAAAUGCGGGGGUGAAGAAUGUGAGAGGGGUCAUUGAUGAUUUUGGCUGCCUGUCUAAGGGCCUGUUAGCUGAAAACCUGUGCCAGAGUUCUGACAGGCAGGCCAAUGAUUUUAGAGCACACUGAUGCCGUGUGCUGCAGUCUGUUCCUGUUCUGAAGGCUGAGGGAGUGAAACCAGCAGGUAAUGGAGAAGGUCAUGAUGCUUUUCAGGAAGGCAUAGUAAAAAGUCAUCAUGAUGGGUGUGCUGACUCCAAAGGAGUUGAGUUUCCUAAGAAGGUAUAGCCAUUGGUGGCACCUCCUGAGAAUCUCCUCUGUGUUGGCAGAGAAUUUCAGGAGGUUGUCAAAGAUGGUUCCCAGGUAUUUGCACUCCUCAACUACCUCCACUGGCUUCCCAUGGAUGGUGGUGGUGACUGAAGCAGCCAGAUCCCUCUGCCUACUGGAAAAGGUCACCACAACCUCUUUGGUUUUGCUCACGUUCAGUUCAAGUUUGGAGCUGUCACAACACUCUACAAUCUCCUGAAGAGCAGGCCCGUGGUGUUGUGAGGGGCCUGACAGCAGUGACAGGAGAACUGUGUCGUCAGCAUAUUUCACCAGGUGACAGUUGGGCCGUGUGGAUCUGCAGUCAUCAGUGUAGAGGAUGAAGAGCAGGGGGGAGAGCACACAGCCCUGGGGGGAGCCAGUGGAGGUGGAACUGAGACAGGAAAGAGAGUUGUUGACCUGGAUGACUGAGAACCUUCACAGACACUUAACAUGCCGUUCUGCCUAUGGCAUGGACAAAUGAAAAGGGAUAACAAACCUUUUUGUCAAUAAUUCAAAUGCUGUUGAAUGUCAUUCAUAAAAUAAAUACAUCAUUAGUUUUUAAAAUUAGUGGUUUCUCAUGACAUUUCACCUUAAAGAAAUGAUUGCAUCCUUAAAUCCAGAAAACAAUCGAGAAGUUUAAUCUAAUUUUGUUCCCACCAGAAAAUCAGCUGCUGUUAAGUUAGCGAGGUUCUUCAAACACAUGAGUUAGAAACACAUGAAACGGGUAAAGCAGAGAAUUGUUGCUGUCUAGUCAAAAUUCUGAUAUAUUGCCACUUAGAGGAUAGAUUUUGUCUUCACCUUCAGUCAUUUCACCGUGCCUUCCACAAAUACCUGCAAACUCUUGUUGUGUUCUUUCUGAGGUUUUACACUCACAGACUGUUCUUACAGUUGUAUAAUGUUGGAAGUGAUCAAAAUGCCCCAUAUUUAUUUUCUGUUAAUAUGAUUUGUAAAUACAUUUUUAAGUUUGUUUGUCUUUUUAAAUUUGGAGUAAAUGUAUUACAGCUCUGUAUUUAACAGGUUAUUUGUCAAACUCUUUAGUUCCCUCCGGUCCAGUGAAGAAAAAUCUAACUAAUCUAACUCUUUAAACUUUACGCUCAAAUGACAUACAUGUUUUUCUAAUUCUUUACUGCUGUUUUACGUGACUGUCAGAUUGCAGUAGCAGGAGCCGGAGUCUUUCUAGGCUCUCUUUUAUUUCCACCUAUGUCCAGCCACAGAAAAGACAAGUGACGUACAAGAUGGUCGUCAGCGGAGUAACCUUUGAUGCCCAUAACCAGCUACUGGACAGAGUAACGACUUCAAUCGGGGGUAGAGCUUUAAAGUUGCUCAGUCAGGAGGAUGGUGAAGUCAUCAUUGUCUUCUGUCCUGUUGUUUCACGUAUGGGGACAGAUGUUGAGGCAGCCAUGGCAAAAAUCACAGGUGAUAAACCUGUCAUACUGGUUGUGAUGCAUCACACAUAUGGAGCCAGAUCUGUACCCUCAGUGAAAACAUGGAAGGAUUCUUGUAAGGUCGUUUUGCAUGUUCAUGUUUUCUACCAUGAGAAGGUCCCUGGAUUGCUGUCGUGUCAGGAAAAUAAUGAUGCCAUCUCCAGGAUACGAACAGAAUUACUGAAAUAUGGUGUUGACAUAACAGAAAGUACAAGUGGAGAUGAUCAGAGUUGGUUAAGUUCGCAAGUUUCCCGGUUUCAAAAUUCAUUUAAAAAAAAGAAACAAUGAAAGUAUAAUGCCUGCAACUACAAGUAAAAGAAACUAUAAUAGCUUGUGUCAGCUUCAGCUGUAAAUAGAAGAAACAGUAAAAAACAAGUACAGCUUAUUUGUCUGCAUCUGUACUGUCUGUGUGUUUAUCAUCAGUUCAAGUCUAAAAGAGUUAUUGUCAUGUGAAAACAUGACAUGACAUAUUAGUUUUUGUGUGGUUGUACACCAGUCAGGACUUUAUCUAAUACAACUGAAAAAACAAAAACCACAAAUGAGCAUUUUAUGGUGCGUGGGAAUCAUUUAUAUUUAAAAAAAAGUUCAAGGAUUCAAAGAUUAGUAUUUUUAGUAUUUCUUUAGUUACGCAAAUAAAGUCAGGGUUUAAGAUAAGAUAAGAUAAGAUAAGAUAACCCUUAUUAGUCUCACACGUGGGAAAUUUGUUUAAAAUAUUUGUUUAAAAUUUAAAAUGCUGAUAUACUGUAUGAAUAGAACUUUAUUGUGCUACUGUUUUAUCUUUUUUUUGUAUUUUUUUUUUUGGGGGGGGGAGUCCUGAACACGUCAAAACACCAGUGUAAUGAUAAUCCACUAUAGCCUGUUCUAUGGAACAGCACUGGUUCAGCUAAUAUUUCUGUCUUUAGUUUCUAUAUUCUGUACAAAGACACCUGAAAGUAGAUUAGGACUGUAAUGCAAAGCCCAUCUUUAGCUAUGUACAUGUUCAUGUCUUUCCCACAGUUCAGAAGAGCAAAUAAAGUCAGGGUUUAAGUUAAGAUAAGAUAAGAUAAGAUAACCUUUAUUAGUCCCACACGUGGGAAAUUUGUUUAAAAUAUUUGUUUAAAAUUUAAAAUGCUGAUAUACUGUGUGAAUACAACUUUAUUGUGCUACUGUUUUAUCUUAUUUUUAUUUUUAUUGGGGACUCCUGAACACUCACCAGUGUAAUGAUAAUGCACUACAGGUGGUUUUAAGGAACGUCAGUGGUUCAGCUAAUAUUUCUGUCUUUAGUUUCUAUAUUCUGUACAAAAACAGAUUUACACUACAGUGCAAAGCCCACACUUGAAAAGCAUUCAUAAACUAUAUAGAUGCAAACAUUUUAAAAAGAUCAUAGAUGGAAAUGGAAAAGAUUUUAUAAAUAGAAAACCAAAUGAUACAUAAGUGAUCAUAAUAUCUGUGCUUUUUUAGUUCUAUGUUUCCCCCCAAAGGCCAAUAUAUCAAAACAAAGCAGAAUGAUUUAAAUGUUCUCAUUAACUUAUUCUUUUAUCCAGUGCUUUAAAGUCUCACUAAAAUGCCUACUGUAUACAGUGUAUUAAGUAGCUUAUUAACGGUUAUAGCAAAAUGAGCUCUGGUGCUACAUAGUAAGAUUGAAACAUUUUUUUUUUCGCCUUAUGGGUGGUGUAAACUUUAUCAUUUAAAUGAAGAUGAACUAUCAGAAACUGCACUGUGUUCCAGUGUAAUUUAUAGAAGGCAGCAGGUGAAAAAGUCUGUGUCCAAGGUGUGAGGGAUCUGUAAUGAUUUUCCCUGCCCAUUACAAGUCCUGGAUGGAGGGCAGGGGGCGCCGAUAAUCUUUUCUGCUACCCGUACAGUCCGCUGCAGUCUGCACCUGUCCUGUUUAGUGGCUGCUCCAUACCAAACUGUGAUGGAGUAACACAGGACAGACUCAAUGACUGCAGUGUAGAACUGGAUCAGCAGCUCUUGUGAAAGACUGUACUUCCCCAGUUGUCUCAGGAAGUACGACGUCUGCUGUGUCUUUUUGAGGAUGGAGGAGAUGUUAGUCUCUCACUUCAGGUCCUGGGAGAUGGUGGUACCCAGGAACUUGAAGAUCUCCACAGUAGACACCGGGCUGUCUGAUAAUGUGAGAGGGAGCAAUAAUUGAGGGAUGUCUCCUGAAGUCCACUGUCAUCUCUACAGUCUUAAGUGUGUUCACUUCCAGGUUGUGCUGACUGGACCAGAGUACUCAGCUCAACUUCCUGUCGAUAUGCAGACUCAUCACCAUCCUGAAUGAGGCCAAUGACGGUGGUGUCAUCUGCAAAAAUCAGGAGUUGCAGCUGAACAGCCGAGUUCUUGGAGGUGCAGUCAUUGGUGUAGAGGGAGAACAAUAGUGGUGAGAGGAUACAGCCUUGAGGGGCACCAAUACUGAGGGACCGUGUUCUGGAGGUGAUCUUCCCCAUAUACUAGUAAAGGCAAAUUAAUUUAACAUAAAUGGCCUGUUACUUAGUUUAGCAUUGUGUUAUUCACCCCUUAACCCCAAGUCUGUUUAUUAGUAGAUUAUUUGAUAUAUGAGAUUUUGUGAGUUUUUGAGUGGUGCGAUGUGCUGAAAGGAUAAUUGGAGGUGAGCUUCCCUCCUCCAGGACAUCUACAAGAAGCAGUGCCUGAGAAGCAGCAGACUGAGGGACAGCUUUUUCUAUCAGGUCACCAGACUGCUGAACAGUGACACUUCAUAGACACCUCACUCUCACCUACCGGAACGUCAACACUAUACACUCCAUAUUGUACAUAUAUGCCAUUUCUUUUGCACUAUACUCAAACUGCUGACCUAUGUAUAUUUAACAUAUAUGUAUAUAUACACACACACAGAUAGAUAGAUAGAUAGAUAGAUAGAUAGAUAGAUAGAUAGAUAGAUAGAUAGAUAGAUAGAUAGAUAGAUAGAUAGAUAGAUAGAUAGAUAGAUAGACAUGGCAUACAUAUUAGUAAUGUGCAUACAUUCUUAUAAUUGUACAUUCCUCUUCUUAUAUUUGACUUGUUUCUUAUGUUUCUUGUAUUUUUCCAUACCACUGUUGCUUGUGAAGCUCGCAUACCAGAAUCUCACUCACAUGUCCUGUACCAGUGUAUCAGUUAUGUGACGUGACAAUAAAAGUGC
ensembl:lncRNA